UACGGGGGGAGCAAGCGUUGUUCGGAUUUACUGGGCGUAAAGGGCGCGUAGGCGGCCACCGCAAGUCACUUGUGAAAUCUCCGGGCUUAACCCGGAAAGGUCAACUGAUACUGCGGGGCUAGAGUGCAGAAGGGGCAACUGGGAUUCUCGGUGUAGCGGUGAAAUGCGUAGAUAUCGAGAGGAACACCUGCGGCGAAGGCGGGUUGCUGGGCUGACACUGACGCUGAUGUGCGAAAGCUAGGGGAGCGAACGGG
rnacentral:rRNA from 1 species